GGAGGGUAUAGCUCAGUGGUAGGAGUGUGUGCUUAGCAUGCACAAGGUCCUGGGUUCAAUCCCCAGUACCUCCA
rnacentral:tRNA from 1 species